rnacentral:lncRNA from 1 species
CCGGACUCCUACGGGAGUAGGGCUCCGUCACCAACUUCAACUGCGGGUAAGCUCCGCCCGGACUCCUACGGGAGCCGGGCUCCGUCACCAACUUCAACUGCGGGUAAGCUCCAUCCAGACUCCUACGGGAACCGGACUUCGCACCUGACUCCAGCUGCAGGAAGGCUCCGCCCGGACUCCUACGGGAGCCGGGCUCCGUCCCCGACUUCAACCUCAAGAAGGACUCCGCCCAGACUCCU